rnacentral:rRNA from 1 species
UAACGGCGAGUGAAGCGGUAACAGCUCAAAUUUGAAAUCUGGCCUCACGGUCCGAGUUGUAAUUUGUAGAGGAUGCUUCGAGCAUGGUCUGGCCUAAGUUCCUUGGAACAGGACGUCAUAGAGGGUGAGAAUCCCGUAUGCGGCCAGGUGCCUACGCUCAUGUGAAGCUCCUUCGACGAGUCGAGUUGUUUGGGAAUGCAGCUCAAAAUGGGUGGUAAAUUUCAUCUAAAGCUAAAUAUUGGCCAGAGACCGAUAGCGCACAAGUAGAGUGAUCGAAAGAUGAAAAGCACUUUGGAAAGAGAGUUAAACAGUACGUGAAAUUGUUGAAAGGGAAGCGCUUGCAACCAGACUUGCGCGCGGCCGAUCAUCCGGUGUUCUCACCGGUGCACUCGGCCGUGCUCAGGCCAGCAUCGGUUUUGGCGGCUGGAUAAAGGCCCUAGGAAUGUAGCUCCUCUCGGGGAGUGUUAUAGCCUAGGGUGCAAUGCAGCCUGCUGGGACCGAGGACCGCGCUUCGGCUAGGAUGCUGGCGUAAUGGUUGUAAGCGGCCCGUCUUGAAACACGGACCAAGGAGUCUAACAUCUAUGCGAGUGUUUGGGUGUCAAACCCAUACGCGUAAUGAAAGUGAACGGAGGUGAGAACCCUUAAGGGUGCAUCAUCGACCGGUCCUGAAGUUUACGGAAGGAUCUGAGUAAGAGCAUAGCUGUUGGGACCCGAAAGAUGGUGAACUAUGCCUGAAUAGGGUGAAGCCAGAGGAAACUCUGGUGGAGGCUCGCAGCGGUUCUGACGUGCAAAUCGAUCGUCAAAUUUGG